rnacentral:rRNA from 1 species
AGCUCCAAUAGCGUAUAUUUAAGUUGUUGCAGUUAAAAAGCUCGUAGUUGGAACUUGGGACGUAAAGGUCGGUCCGCCUACUCGGUGUGCACCUGCCCUUCCGUCCCUUUUGUCGGCGGCGUGCUCCUGGCCUUAAUUGGCUGGGUCGCGGUUCCGGCGCUGUUACUUUGAAAAAAUUAGAGUGCUCAAAGCAAGCUUAUGCUCUGAAUACAUUAGCACGGAAUAACGUGAUAGGAGUCUGGUCCUAUUGUGUUGGCCUUCGGGACCGGAGUAAUGAUUAAUAGGGACUGUCGGGGGCAUUCGUAUUUCAUUGUCAGAGGUGAAAUUCUUGGAUUUAUGAAAGACGGACCACUGCGAAAGCAUUUGCCAAGGAUGUUUUCA